rnacentral:tRNA from 1 species
CAGGGAGACAACAAAAUGUUAAAUAUAAUUAUUUUGUCACCUUAGGUCGAUCGGUAUCUCAUGUUCUUAAUUUAUUAAGAAUUUCAUUUCCUAAGUUUUUCUAGGUCACACCCAUUAUUUUCCUGGGCCAUUAGCUCAGGUGGUUAGAGCGCACCCCUGAUAAGGGUGAGGUCCCUGGUUCAAGUCCAGGAUGGCCCAUAUCUCUAUGUUGGGGGUAUAGCUCAGUUGGUAGAGCGCCUGCUUUGCAAGCAGGAUGUCAGCGGUUCGAGUCCGCUUACCUCCACUGAUUACCACCUCUUCCAUAAUCUGUAGAAAGGAAAUGUUUUGAGUCGUGAUCAAAUUCUGAACGAAUCUAGCUUCCUAAUGAAAUCAUUAAGAUGCUGGACUCAUUGAAUUAUUUUCAUUGUUUUCAGAGAACCUUGACAACUGCAUAGAUUAUUUUUAAAGACAAUAAGCAUCUUUAACGAUGCAGAUUUAUUAUUUAUGCGAAUGCAUUAAUAACAAUUCUAUUAAGCUGAUGCUUCAAUUUUGAAGUUAUU